rnacentral:sRNA from 1 species
UUCUAGCCCCGAUAGUAGUGAAAAUCCUUUUGUGCCGGGGUUCGGCACAAAAGAUUGAAACGGAUAGCGGGAAUAGCU